AAGUCGAACGGCAGCACGGGUGCUUGCACCUGGUGGCGAGUGGCGAACGGGUGAGUAAUACAUCGGAACAUGUCCUGUAGUGGGGGAUAGCCCGGCGAAAGCCGGAUUAAUACCGCAUACGAUCUACGGAUGAAAGCGGGGGACCUUCGGGCCUCGCGCUAUAGGGUUGGCCGAUGGCUGAUUAGCUAGUUGGUGGGGUAAAGGCCUACCAAGGCGACGAUCAGUAGCUGGUCUGAGAGGACGACCAGCCACACUGGGACUGAGACACGGCCCAGACUCCUACGGGAGGCAGCAGUGGGGAAUUUUGGACAAUGGGCGGAAGCCUGAUCCAGCAAUGCCGCGUGUGUGAAGAAGGCCUUCGGGUUGUAAAGCACUUUUGUCCGGAAAGAAAUCCUUGGUUCUAAUAUAGCCGGGGGAUGACGGUACCGGAAGAAUAAGCACCGGCUAACUACGUGCCAGCAGCCGCGGUAAUACGUAGGGUGCGAGCGUUAAUCGGAAUUACUGGGCGUAAAGCGUGCGCAGGCGGUUUGCUAAGACCGAUGUGAAAUCCCCGGGCUCAACCUGGGAACUGCAUUGGUGACUGGUAGGCUAGAGUAUGGCAGAGGGGGGUAGAAUUCCACGUGUAGCAGUGAAAUGCGUAGAGAUGUGGAGGAAUACCGAUGGCGAAG
rnacentral:rRNA from 1 species